AAGGAGGAUCUUGGUGAUGAGAGGAGAAACUAGUUCAAACGAACCGAUUGGCUAGCUCUUUCAAAUGACCAACAAAUACAUUAGAAACAGAGAAUUCCAGACAUUUGCCGGGAAAGGAAAUUCCUUCACAUCUCAGUUUUCAAUGAGUGUACCCUAAUGAGAUUUCCUACUUGUUAAAACAUCUCAACGUUUACUGUCAAACUCGCUCAGACUCUUCUAUGUGUCAACAUUAAAAAAAACUCUCAAUCCUGUGAAAUCUAAUGAAUAAAGGUGAAAUCUAAUGAAUAAAGGCCAAACCAAAAGGCCACUAUUGAUAAGUCAACCCCUUCAUCCUAGGAAUCGACCCAGGUGAAAUCUCUUUUGAACUGCCUCCAAUGCAAAUCGGGAGCAAAAUUGUACACAGUACUCCGGGUAUGGCCUCAUCAACACUUUGUACAGUUGUAUCAGGACUUCCCUACUUUUAAAACUCAAAGCCCCAGCAAUAAAGGUCAAAAUUUCAUUUACCUUUUUAAUUACUUGCUCAUCUGCAUGCUAACUUUGUGUUUCAGGCACAACAACACCCAGACCUUUCGAUGUUGUACUCUUUGGAGUCUCCCCCCUUUCAAAAAAUAAUUUGCUUAUUGAUUCUUCCUACCAAAGUGGAUGACCUCACACUUCCCUACAUUAAACUCUGUCUGCCAUGUUUUUGCCCAUUCAACCUAUUGAUAUUGCCCUGUGAUCUCAUCACAACGUACCCUCCCACCUAUUUUUGUAUCAUCAGCAAAUUUGGAUGCAACACAUUUUGUCCCCUCUUCCAUCAUUAAAAUAUAUAGUAUAAUUGAGGCUCUAAGACCGAUCCUUGCGGCACUUCACUGGUUACAUCUUUCCGACUUGAAAAGACCUAUUAAUCCAGACUCUGUCUUCUUUGUGUUAACCAAUACACAAUCCACAUUAAUACACUACCCUCAAUACUGUGAGCCUCUAUCUUGUGCAAUAACUUUUUUGUGGCACCUUAUUAAAUGCCUCCUUCAAAUCUAAACAUACUACAUUUACCAGUUCCCCUUUAUCAAUUCUGCAUGUUAUAUCCUGAAAGGCCUCUAGUAAAAGAUCUCCCUUUCACAAAACUAUGUAGACUAUUUGAUUGUGUUAAGCUUUUCUAAAUGUUAUUUCUUCCUUAAUAAUGGACUCUAGCAUUUUCCCAAUGACUGAUAACUGGCCUACAGUUUCUUCUUUUUAACUCCCUCCCUUUCUUAUGUGGUGUCACAUUAACUGCUUUCCAAUCUGCAGGAACUCUCCAGAAAUUCAGAGAGUUCUGGAAUAUUUUGAUCAAUGCUUCUACUAUUCUCCGUAGCUACUUCCUUUAAAGGCCAUUAGAUCCUGGCAACUUGUCAGCUUUUUGUCCAAUGAGUUUGUCAAUUACUUUGUCUCUCAUUAUAAGGACUGUUCAAAGAUCUUUUCCACCAUUAGCACCUUGUUUAUUUUAGUGUCUUCCAUCACCAACAAUUAUGUAAAAAAAUUGGUUUACAUGAUCUGCCAUUUUCUUGCUCCCCAUUAAAUCCCCAGUUGCACUGUCCAAUGAUCCCACACUUACUAUAGCUACUCUCUUUUCUAAGUACCCAAUGAAUUACUUUUAAAGCAGGGUCACUUACCAUCUGAUUCCAUUGGUUCCCCUUUGUAACUAUCUGUAAGGAAUAUGUGAACAUCCAGUAGUUCUGCCUCAUCCACAAAUUCAAACUUGAUCCGUCCAAUUUUUUCCAGGCUGUCCACAGUCAGACUGCUCUCCUCCCAUAAUUCUCUGCGGAAGGAAUUAGCUUUACUUCAAGAACAACUUUAAAAGAGGUUUCAAAAAAGCAUUUCAAAUAGCUGGAACAGAGGAAACAGGGCAGUCAGACUCUUCUAUUUACCUCUGCCAUUUAAUGAGAUUAUUGUCUUGUCAGUACCUCGAUUCCAUUGAGCAGACUGAAUUACAUUAACUGACUUGCAGAAUAAAAAGAGGCCAACAUUUCCACUGAUACCUCGUGUUUAAAGGAAGCAUGGUACUAAACCCCCCCCAGACUAAAGGUUUCUGGAUUUGAACAUUUGUCUGUGAUGAACUAUACAAUUUUAAAAAAGGAGCCUUAGGCAGACUGCAGAAGAAAUAUAACUGAACAGUGUGAUAACUUUCCAGAAUUUGGAUUUUUGAAGAAGAAAUGAAUUUAGGUUAAUACCGUGGGGGAGUUCAUCAGAAAUUCAUUUGAACAGUGACCUAAGUAGAUGAUUUCUAAGACAACAUAAGACGUCAGUCAACUAUGGGAUGAAAUUCUUCUACUGAUGAGCUUAUUAACGGUUGAAUAAAUAUAUCAUGGAAGUUGUUUCGUUUUGACUUCAAAGCAAAAGAAAUAAGUCACUUUUACAGAAGUAGUUUUGAGUCAGUGGAGCUUCAAAGCAGGAAGAACUCGUAUAGAAAUCAUUCAUGUUAGAACUGAGAAAGUUUAGGCCAUCAGAAUUGUCUCAUGUUAACAGACUCAGAAAGCAAUCAUAAAAGUUAAGUAAAGAUUUAAAAAGCUGAGAUAAGAGUGAUAUUUCUCAGGAAUGGACUUUCUGUAAAGGAUUGGUGUUGGGAAAUAAGAUGAAACUUUGUUUUGGUGUUUGUGUUAAGAGUUUUUUUAAACUGUGUCGUGUGUGUAUAUAUUAUAUAGUUUUGUUUAUUUAUUCCUCUUUUGUGCAAUAAAUUUACGCUCUGCUGUAUCAGCAGCCUUGUGAGAAUGUUUCAGUGACUAACUGUCAUGAUAAAUAACUGCAAAGAUUAAACAUUUGAAUCAUCAAA